UUCUUUUUAAAAAAAGUCCAGUGGUUAGGAUACUCUGGUUUCACUGGAGCAGCCAGGGUUUGAUUCCCUGUAGGGGAG